UUGUUUUUAUCAAAGCACAAGUGUUUUGAAAUGAUCUUAAUCAUAUGAAAUGUUUCAGAAUCAACCAUGACAAGUCGACCCUGGCUUUUGGACUUUAUACUGGAAACAAUCUGGAUGGUCCUUUCCUUUGCUGGUCCAAAGAACAGAAUGUCCAUUAUUACCAUAAACGAUCUAAAAGGUGGGAAGAGUAGCCUAAACCAAUACUCAAGUAAAAGGAUAAAUACUUGGGUAAAGUACAAAAGAAGUACAAAAGUCCCCG